GGGGGGAGUCCGGGGGGCUGGAUGUGUCGGACCCUCCGCCGCCGCCGCCCACAGAGGCCGGGAGCAGGAGACAAAAUGGCGGCGCCGACUCCGAGCCUGGCCGCGGGGACGUGGGUUCGGGAAGCGGACCUGUGGCCUGCUCCCUAGGCCGCGGGUUCUUUGGGGGGUGGAGUAUUGAGCAGGAAGCAAGGCGACCCCGGGACUCUUCUUAGUCCCUUCUUCCCAGGAUGCCUCUACCUACCUACUUACCUCAGUCGAAAUUUCAAGUUUGUAAACGAUGAGGUUGACUUUUUCUGAUAGAGGACAGAGAUGGAGGGGGAGAGGGAAAGAGGCCACACAGCACCAAAACUUCCCCUUGUGUGGUAGGAGCCAUGUGCACAUGGCUUGCAGGUAAGCUGUCUUGCUGGCCCAAAUGUAUUUUAUUUUUAUGUGAUGCCAGAGACUGAAACCAGGAUCUCAUGCAUGUGCUCUACUGCUGAGUUAUCUUGCCAAAUAGAGAGAAGCAGCAGCAUUUUAUUAUUCAUGAAGUUCCAUUUGUUCUCUUGUACCAGGGGGCCUGACCCAGAGCCUCAUGCAUGUAAAGCUGACCACCACGGAGCCACCUCUGUUGACCUGAAGAAUGAGUGUUAAACAGUGAUGACGGACUGGGCAGUGGUGCACCUGGUUGAGUGCACACAAGUUAUCGUGUGCAAGGACCUGGAUUCAAGCCCCUGAUCCCCACCUGCAGUGGGGAGGCUUCUCCAGCAGUGAAGCAGUGUUGUGGGUGUCUCUUUCCCUCCCUAGCUCCCCCUUCCCUCUCAAUUUCUGUCUCUAUCCAAUACAUGAUAAAUAAGAUAGGGCCUGGGCGGUGGUGCACACUACAGUGCGCGAGGGCCAGGGUUCAAGCCCCUGGUCCUCACCUGCAUGGGGAAAGCUUCACAAGUGGUGAAAAAGAGCCACAGGUGUCUCUCUCUCCUUUCAUCCUUUCUCAAUUUCUCGUCUCCGAUAAAAAAUGACAAGAUAGGGAGGGGGUAGAUAGCAUAAUGGUCAGACAAAGAGAAUCUCAUGCCUGAGGCUCCAAGGUCCCAGGUUCAAUCCCUACCCAC